AGGUAAUAGAUACCCAGGUAGUCCACGCCGUAAACUAUGGAUGCUAGCCGUCGGCAAGCUUGCUUGUCGGUGGCGCAGCUAACGCUUUAAGCAUCCCGCCUGGGGAGUACGGCCGCAAGGUUAAAACUCAAAGGAAUUGACGGGGGCCCGGCACAAGCGGUGGAGCAUGUGGUUUAAUUACGACGCAACGCGAAGAACCUUACCAGCUCUUGACAUUUACGGACCGUUUCCUAGAGAUGGAUUCAUCCUAGCAAUAGGCCGUAGGACAGGUGCUGCAUGGCUGUCGUCAGCUCGUGUCGUGAGAUGUUGGGUU
rnacentral:rRNA from 1 species